UACAGAGGUGGCAAGCGUUGUUCGGAAUUACUGGGCGUAAAGGGCGCGUAGGCGGCCUUCUAAGUCAGACGUGAAAUCCCCCGGCUUAACCUGGGAACUGCGUCUGAUACUGGAAGGCUUGAGUGCGGGAGAGGGAUGUGGAAUUCCAGGUGUAGCGGUGAAAUGCGUAGAUAUCUGGAGGAACACCGGUGGCGAAGGCGGCAUCCUGGACCAAUACUGACGCUCAUGUGCGAAAGCGUGGGGAGCAAACAGG
rnacentral:rRNA from 1 species